rnacentral:misc_RNA from 1 species
AACUUUUGGCAAUGGAUCUCUUGGUUCUGGCAUCGAUGAAGAACGCAGCGAAAUGCGAUAAGUAAUGUGAAUUGCAGAAUUCAGUGAAUCAUUGAAUCUUUGAACGCACAUUGCGCCCCGUGGUAUUCCGCGGGGCAUGCCUGUUCGAGCGUCAGUACAACACUCAAGCUCUGCUUGGUAUUGGGCCCCGUCCGUCUGGACCGGCCUUAAAAUCAGUGGCGGUGCCAUCGGGCUCUAAGCGUAGUAAUACUCCUCGCUACAGGGUUCCUUUGCGUGCUGGCCAGCAACCCCCAACUUUCUAAGUUUGACCUCGGAUCAGGUAGGGAUACCCGCUGAACUUAAGCAUAUCAAUAAGCGGAGGCU